rnacentral:piRNA from 1 species
UUCAAAACACACAAGGCAAAA